AUCUUAUCUAAUUUAUUAAAAUAUUUAUUUGUCAAAUAAAAAAUACCUCAUGGUGAUAGAUUA
rnacentral:tRNA from 1 species